UCGAUGGGUAGAGGCUGCGGAAUUUAUCAGUACGGUGCGCGAGUUUGACAACGUUGAACGCAUCUGAAAGGAAAUUUUGCCGAAGUUCUUUUUUCACAGUCAAUGGAAAAAGUGCUGGGGUCAUUCUGAAGAAGAAUGGCACUGUCAUUUGCGUUUUGCGCAAAUGAAGAGCUACAGGGAUG
rfam:Planomicrobium sp. ES2 genome assembly, contig: CONTIG000001